GGAAGAUUGCCGGAAUGGUAACGGAGCAGAUUGCUAAUCUGUCACGGGUUAAACCGUGUGGGAGUUCGAAUCUCCCAUCUUCCG
rnacentral:tRNA from 1 species